CACAUGACCUUGACUAGCAUAGCCUUCCCACAGCCCCAUCCCCAUGGCCUCGUCUCCAUGGCCGCAUCCUCAAGCCGGUGUCUCAUCCCCGAGUCGUCCCCUUGCCUCUCAGUCUCUGCACGAUAGCUCACUUUUUAUUAUGAGUAUUAGCGAUGGCUAAUGCUGUCACUAAAAAUUAUUUUUUUAUUUAAAUUAUGUUAAUUAAAUAUAAUUAAAUAUUAAAAAAUUAAUUAUUUAGAUAAUUAAUUAAUUAAUUAAUUAGAAGUA
rnacentral:lncRNA from 1 species